GUUUUGGAUGGCGGUGAGCGAGGAGGACGCCCGAGGCAGUUUUGCCAAAAGAUCAGAUGCUUCUGAGAAACAAUCCUUCCACGGCUGUGGCCGUUUGGACAUCCAAGUCUGAGUGUGGCCACUAACCCCAGGACCUGCGCAGCAACCCCUUGUCACGGCGAGCGUCGUCUCUGCGAGCUUCGCAUCGAGCGUCCGAAACGCUCAUCAGGUGGUCUUUGUGCAUAUUCUAGAUGAUCGAGCUGGCGAGGGUGGCGCACGCCUUAGGGAAGUUAAAUGUUCGUUCAGUUGCACUAGCUAGCGGUCACUACGAUCGUAUAGCUACAUUAAAAAAUUGCUUAGCUGUAAGCCUGAGGUUUCGUGGGCAUGGCUUGCGGCCACACGGGUCUUCUCCGUGCCGGAAUCGAAGAGGACGGGCCACGUGUUGCGGGGUGGCGGCGUAUAGCUUCAGGUUUUAGCUGGCACUGCGCAGGCUACAGCUGAUAGCCGUCCUCUACGAGUGCGUCAGGGACAUGGACCCUUCUGAAUGGCCUUGCGACCCGACCCCACUAUUUCGUGACAAGGUAGCCCGGGCGCGUCAGUGCUAUCGAGCGAAAUGUGGAAUCACGGAAGCAAACGCCACUCUGAAAGUGCCUCGCCAGCUUUUAGCUAUUGCGGCGACCUUAAGUCGCCUACGGUCUGGAGCGGAGCCCGGCCGUGCAACAGCUACGGUGAGUGGUCCAUUUCUUUGCGGUUCCAGCUGUUCUUUUCUGGUUGUUUACUUUCCUCCUUGCGUCGCAGAUGAUGACCUUGAUCACCACUCGUGCAGUCACCGACCGUCUUAACUCUUUUGCAUUCCCUCGGCGGGGAAGUGUUGCUGGUGGACUAGACUUUGUUCCUCGCCCGGCACUACUCCUGGCAAGUACCGUGAACACUAGAAUCGUAGUAUGGCUGUGCUCUCGAGUGUUUAACAAGCCCUGUCUGAUUUCAGGUUCCUACCGUCUGCUUUCCAUUGCGGCUAUUCACAAGCAUAUCUGGCGGGCGGUUCUGCACAUCGUCUCCGGCAGUGUUACGCCUGCAUUUUUCUCGCCGGUGGCUUUCAGCUGGGAGAUGGAGAUUCGUUCAACUCCCUGCACUUCUGACAAGUACCAUGUAUAUACACUCCUAUGGUGCUACGGAUGUUUUCUAGUGUGGCGUAUAAGCCCUGUGGCAUUUAAGGUUCCGAACGUCUGCUUUUGAAUGAAGCCGUGUUUUCCUCUGACGGCUACGGUUCGUGUUCUCUGUGCUCCUUUCCAUAAUCAUGUUGCUACACCUUGCCGGUUCCGCAAGUACACCAACUUUGUGGGCUUCCGAUGAAAUUUACUGUCAAAUGUAUUUAUUAUGCCGACCUUCGAGGUUAGGUUUAUGCUUCCGAAAACUUCCUUCGCCAGUUUUCAAAAGGCUUUUUUUAUGUCUCUCUCCGAGUGAGACUACGUUGAAUUUCUUCCGUUCCUGGUUAUAUUGGCGGAGUUCUUUCCCUCACCCGUAAUUUAUUUCGUCUACUCGGAGUGCCACAUAGUUCACAAUGAUUUUGUAACUCUACGUAGUCUUCACUUUUGUCGAAGGUUGCCGUCCUAUUCUUCAGUGUUUCCUCCCAGUUUUCUGCUUCCGCCUAUCGGGUCCGUAGAAGUUAGAGGAAUCGGUUCUCCAGGUCCAUCGUGAACUUGUGGUAACGAUUGCUUCUUAAUAAUACCCCCUACUUCGUGUACACGGGUAUAUAGCUCUCCAUUAUGCAGUACACAUCGACCGAUCGCUUUCCGGAGUAGACUAGAAAACUACGAAUGAGCCUUUCAUAAAAACCGCCCCCACACGGUGUUUUGCGGAGGAAAUUUCCACUUGGUCAUAGGUCAUAAAUUGUUCAGUUCAGCGAUGUAAUGUUGCUGGGACCGCAUUCAAUCCCUUAUUAGUUCCCCUGGAAGUCUUGCGUUGUUCCUGAGCACAUUAAUGUUCGACCUGAGAAACGCCGAAAAUAGUGUAGAACACCGGUGUGAAGAGUCUCCGACAGUUUCUCAGUGUACACCUCUUGUCACGGCAUAUCUGAAAGUUGCUACAAACAGUUUGGCUAUGUCUCCUUGUUUUUUUGUUUUUUUUGUAGUUACUCCCAGCGCACAGUUGAAACGUAGACCAGCUAUUUCAAUAUGGUCUUCGUUACUCUAUCCUCAAGAGGAGGUACUUCCUCUUACAAGGAUCUGGAGUUAUAUCUUCGCCGCACAACGCACUGUCGUAUUACUUUCACUUAUUUUCGUCCUCAGAUUACCCGAAAUAUCGUUAUUAUACGAGCCGGUGUGCCACGUAGUCCACCGUGAAGUUUGUCCAUAUAGGUGUCACACUAAUAGUCGACAGAUUUCUAUUAUUUACAUGUGAUCGGGUGCUGCUCCUCUUGAUAUGGGCCCUACAGAAGGCGCCCUUGAAGUCUGAUUGGGUCUUUAUCUUAAAAUAUCUGGUAUUCGCCUAUUAUCUGCACAUUCGCUUGCUUGCUGAAUUUCUGCAAUCUUGCAAUAUACACAUUGUUCUAACCAAAUGAGGCAGGUUUCGGCGGUAUUUAUUUCUUCUGCUUUUGGUGGACCGUUGAACUUGUCCUCUAAUAUUCACGGAACGAAACAUUCAUGCGCUUACUCUCCAAAUAUUCAAGUAAUUGCCGCACCUGUCAACCUCAAUGCCUCGUCUCGAGAUCCUUUUCGACGUGUAUCUCACACGAGAAUCAUCUCCUUUUCUUCCAAUAUUAACCGGCAUUUUGUCCCGCCAAUUGGUCUGUAGCAACUGGAAUCCCUUCCACAAAAUUGUUACUGCGACUUCUUUUCUACGGUGACUCCUGGUUAUACCUGCUCGAUUUUUCACUACUGUUCACGUAUCCCCAUUGCUCUACUGAGUAAUUCUUUUUCUUGUCUGUGUUCAACGGGUGCUUUAUACAUUUUCUUUCUCCAAUGCAGCACGAUUGCACAAGUGGUCCGAUACUUCACUGUUGCUCGCAAGUUCUAAUUUGCGAGACUAACGACGGUGUUCAUUAGAGCUACUCUAUUCUUUGCCAGGACCAGCACUGUCUCCGCUCUGAUAUAACAGUACCAUGAAUGCUGCACUUGAAUACACCGCCAGGCUUGCAUCCGAGAAAAGUGUCGGUGCUAACGUUCCGUUUCUUGUCGAUGCGCUUUGAGGCAUUUAGUCCUUCAUCUUCCUCGGUAUAUUUCUCCAUGGAUAAUAUAUCUUCGUCUGGGAGAGGGUUGUCCCAAUACACCUUUUUCUUCCCGUCAUUGAAUACCGAUAUUAGCUGUUGCAGUGCAUGACGUUAGAAAUUCCAGCCGACCAAAUAUUUUUGCCGUGGCUUGAAAUACUCAUCGCUUCGUGAGAAUUUCACUCGAGUCUUCAUAUCGAUGGAAAAGCAAAAUACCGUCGGCCCGUGUCCCAGUUCAUUCCUAGAAUACUGGUCUGGCUUCAUCACGUAAGAACGGCACCUUGAGGCGAAUUUAAAUUCUCAUUUCUUCGCUGUUCGAUAUCAAUUUCCUAAGAUUCAUUGCAGCUCGGAGCAAUUUUUUUUGCUCCUAUGUACAUGCCUUUCGCCCGGUUUUGUUCCAAGCAUAACUUGAUCAACGCAAACUUAAUUACGUUUGCUGUCAUUGCAAGAAUUUCUUAGAAAAUGCAUUUAGUGUUGGUCCAUCUGCAUUCAAGUUUACUCCUGUCUGAAGAUAAUAGUUUAGAACAUUCCUGAUCUUAACCACGAGGCGUCAAAUACUACCCUUUUCUUGCUAGUCGGUCUUCUCGAAUUGCUUGAUGGUGCGAUAUGGUAGUUAUUGUUCAGAUUCUUCCGAACUCGCUCGUUCUGCUUUCCAGGUGUGAAACAUCUCGCAUUGAACAGUUCUAUUUUUAUCUCGCUGCAUUUGUCUGGUAUAUUCGAGAUGGUAUUCCGAUUGCUACUUCGUUGAUUUCCACGUUAACUUGCUCUCCAUCCUUCUGAACAGUCCUUGUAACUACAUCGUCCUCUUUAUGCGUCGUUUCUUUCUGAGCAGCUAAGCCAGUAUAUUCUGCCUUCAAAAUGUUCAAAAGGGAAGUUGUCAGUUUCUGCGGCGUCAAGAACCAUGGCGAGUUUCGCGUUUCGCAGUUCUCUUCUACACCACAAGGGUCAGGCACAAUCCAGUCGGGUAUUAUCUAUUUUCCAUUGUAUCUUCGUUUCGUCUUUUCACUGGACUUUCCUCCUCGCCUGCACUACUAUUGCUUCUGCACUCCUGUUUUCAAUUGCGGUCCACAAGCGUUCCCAACGCGCUGUUGCACGACUCUACGGUCUGCGCUCCAAAAGGUUACUUCGGGCACGAGCAUCACCUGUUCCAGGAGCGACUGCUAUUGCUUCUACAUUCUCUCGCCAGUGACGUCCUGCCGAUAGACUGGACUUGUUUCCUCGCCUUGCACUGCUACUGCUUCUGCACUCCUGUUUUCGACUGCGGUGGGUACCUAGCAUGCUCCAGCACUUCAACUCUCAGUUCUGCGCUUCAAAAGAAAUUACUUCGGGCGCCAGCAUCACCCGUUCCAUGAGCGACUGCUACUGCUUCUACAUUCUCUCGCCAGUGGCGUCCUGCUGGCAGACUGGACUUAGCCUGGCGCCCUUGCACUUAAUUCUGGUUCCCUGUUUGCUGUCGCUUGUGGCGCAAGAGAAGCGUUCCAGCACUCUCAUUUACAAGAACAUUCCUGGCCUUGCCUCACGAGCAACUAUAUUCAGCCCGGUCGUCCUGCCGUGCUCUAUACAAGCUUCCCGACACUAUAGUGAAUGCGUCGCACGCCUGUCUGUGCGGUUUCCUGCACUUUGUUGACGGCGUGUUCAUGCUCUGAAGGACUGCGUGUGGUCACCGUCCCGAGACCGUCCAUCGGAUGUGCUCUUACAGUUCGCUGUUGCCUUCUUCCGCAGGAAUGUUUAAGUUUCGUGUAGCAAGCUUUUCUUUUUUAGAAGAGUGGCACGGUGCUCAGCGAAUGGAUAGCGCUUCUAGGAAUGGGGUUAAUACGAAGCAGAACAGUAAAGGUCUGGUUAAGUGGACACCACUCGGUACUUAAAAAAUAAGGACUGGACUGUCUGUUUUCAUGAGCCAAUCUGUAAAUUUUUGGUGGCGAGAGUAAUGGACAUUCAUUCAUUGUGCUCUUUUGUAGUGUGUGUGUCUGUGUGUGUGUGUGUGUGUGUGUGUGUGUGUGUGUGUGUGUGAGAGAGAGAGAGCCCCUUUUUUUCGAUCGAGAACGUAUGACAUGAGCUCCGCUGCUACCUGCAUUGUUUUGGUAGCAUUUCCAACGUUGCAGUUCACUUUUCCCGGUUCAUUCCUGUUUGAAAGGUUCCUGGUUUGAUGGUUUACUAUCGUCUGUGGAGUGCGCUUUUGGAUUGGUCGAACCGCUGGUUUCUUUGGCUUUAGACCAUUGGUUGAUCUCUGUGCUCGUUUCAUCUUUCAGCGGUAUUGUUCAGGCUGGUUUCUUUGGCUUUAGACCAUUGGUUGAUCUCUG